UAAGAGAAAAUGGGUGCAAGCAGAGAACGCAUGAACAGCUACAGUAAAACUGGGAGGAGUUUAAUCUAGAACUUUUUGCAUCUACAUUUUUCUACUUUUAACGGCUUUUAUUUUCUCCCUACCUAAUGUUUCUACUCAUAGCUAUUUUAGAUUGAAGAAUUCUAAAUGAUUUUUUUCUCAUUGGUUUUGCAAGAUGACCUUUGUUGCAAGAUCCUUAAAAUUUUUGAAUACUGUGGUACUUUAAAAUAACAAAUGAUAUUGUUAUUGAAUAAGUUGGAAAUGCUGAAAGAAAGAAAAUGUCAUGCUCUUUAGAUUCAAGAUAUACUUUUUAAAAAGUUUCUGAAGGAUGAUUUUAAUUCCGUUAGUUCUGUAUCUAAGAAAAGUUAGCAAUCACCAUACAUUCAUCUUUUCAAGAUUUUGUUCACCUACAUUUCAGGUAAGCCAUGAAUCUAGCCCUAGGUAGACAUCUAUGUAAAAAUGGUGCCCAUUGCUAAAUCUGACAUGAAUCUGUUAAGUAUAUCUCUUGCCAAAAUGCAAAGUAGAAAGGAAAUCAGCUCACAGAUUGGAACAGUAUUGCAUACUGUAUAGUACAGGCCUUUGGAUGUACAGUUCCAGCCUUUCCCCAAAGUUAUGGCUUUCAUAUAUAAUGGUAUAAAAUAUUGGAGUCACAUAGUGCCCAUAUUGAAAAAGGCAAUAAGUUGCUUAAAUCCACAUUGUCUGAAGACCCAUUUCUUUAGCCGCAAACCUGCUUGAGCAUUACAAACUGUGGACAUGCCCCUUUUGACAAUGUCUACCCUGGAGAUGUACCCAUGUGGCACAAAGUACAAGGCCUUCUCCUGUGUCAUUCCCAAAGUAAGUAGCACAAUCCCAUAGGAGUUGCAUUGGUCACUCACUCCCCUUUCCUUUGGAAAUGUGCCCAAAAUAUGUAUUUUUUCCUGACUUGUAAUUGAUAAUUAAGGUUUGCAUUAGUUUUCAUUUCUGCCUCUGAAUUAUUUUUGUACUCUGCAUUUUACUGUUUGCUACCAUCCUUGGAUGCUCAGACUGAAAGAUGACAUGUUUGUACAUACGUGGACACACACACACACAUACAAAUAUAAAUCCCCCUCACGGCAAAAGGUUGAUCGUUGGGUAGCGUUAGAGUAGUAUUCUUGUCUCUUCCCUUCUGCUUUAAUUCCCUCCUCUGUAAAAUGGAAAACGGGAAGGCCCCAUUUCCCGGGACUUUUGCAAAGAUCACCGAGCAGCAGGAUUGUAAACGUUUCUCAGGCAACCUGGUUUCACACGUCUUUUUCAGGCUCCCUGUUGCAGAUUAAUCCUAGCCGGUUCCUUCAAGCAGGGCUCCUCCCCCUUCCCGUCUUCCCCCACCCCUAAAGCCGAUUGCACAAAGGCAUUUGUGGAAACAUCGAAGGAGGGCAAAGUGUAAAGUUUGGUCUUCAGGGCAUGCUAAGGAAAAGGAAAACUACAGGCAUCUGAAGCAAGAGACCCCACCCACUCUCCCCCCGCGGCCCUUGUCGGUACAGAGAAGCUACUUUUUCUGAUUAGUUGCAGAUUUGGCUUGAGUGCCAUGCCUUGCAUCAGAUAAGAACUUAAAAUGCAAAAAAGAAAAUAUAGAAGGUGAUUCAGCAUGGGGCUACUGACAGAACUGCUGGACAAAAACACCUCCAGUUUCACCUCCACUCCACUAUGAAGCAUCCUUGGACCUUUUUAAAAAUCCCUCAGUUUAAUCCUCCUCAUAAGAUGUUGUUGUGAGGAUAAAGUUGGAGAGGAAAGCGCCAUGUACACUGCUUUGCCUCCCAGAAGCAAGAUUAUAAAGAUAAUAGCGAAUUCCUUGGAUUUCUGACUUUGCAACUUCUUUGCCACUUUUCAGUAAUAACAAAGCAAUAAAUUUCAGUGAAACAUGA